rnacentral:lncRNA from 1 species
CAUCCUUCACUGCCUCCUAAGGCAGCCCACUUCCUCUCUGCACACUCCCAAAGGAAGUCUUCCCAAGACUGAGCCCUGAAGAUCUAUGCUCAGCUACCGUUCACAGCUCCUUUCCUCUCCGUAUAGAACCAGCACGGGAUGAGCCCUGCAAAUUCGUGUCCCAGGAGCUCCUGGUACUGGUUCCAACAAGGCGGAGCUAAAUGGGAGGCCCUGCCAAUGGUUUUUUCCAGCCCUUGGAACAUUUUUGCAACCCUUAGAAAGCUCUUGGAAAAAACGCCUUUGAUGGUGGUGACUGAGGGGAACAAAGUGCCCCAAAGAGCAACUGCAAGGGCCGGAUGGGGCAGUAGCUCCCUCAGUGAGAGGGGACAGUACUGGGCAGUUGCUCUCUCAGUGAAGAGCCAAGAGGAAGAGGAGCCCAAAGACCAGCGCACUCCUCAUCGGUACCCUUUUGCCAGUGACUCUCCCCUUUCCCAUCCAACAAGGUGGAGUCUUUGUCCUUCAAGAGGCCCAGAGCUCAGGAGGAACCUGCUUCUAUGAGAUGGAUUUUCUCCACGGCCUGAAAGGCAAGAGGAUCAUAAAUGUGCCAAUGGAAUUCAGAUUUCCCAAGUUGUUCAACCACCACAAUAAAGCUAAAAGCAAAACUCCGCUGGAAGGGAGCGGAGACUUUAAUGCAGGAGGCUGCGCGGCAGUGAGAAGACGAAUCGGGCCUCUGACAGCCCCUCCUCUGCAAAUGGAUUUGGCUGCAGUGAGCUGGGCCCUUGCAGCACGGCAAGACUGAGCCCUGUGGCUGAGCUGGGUGGCUCACCCCUGGGAGGGCGUGGCCACACCCAGAAGAGAACACUGCUGAGCCCUGAGGGCAGCACCCAGCCACCAAGCACCAAGUUUUCUCAUAAGGCCCAUGGGCAGUUUAAACUCCAUCCUUGGGGCUGGCCCCAUGGCCAAGUGGUUAAGUUCGUGCGCUCCUGCUGCGGGUGGCCCAGGGUUUCGCCAGUUCGAAUCCUGGGCGCAGACAAGGCACCGCUUAUCAAGCCACGCUGAGGCAGCAUCCCACAUGCCAGAACUAGAAGGACCCACAACUAAAAAAAUACACAACUAUACGCUGGGGGGCUUUGGGGAGAAAAAGGAAAAAUAAAAUCUUAAAAAAAAAAAACAAAAAAACUCCAUCCUGGUCUUGCGACCAGUUCCAGAGUGGCUGGGACCCACGGUCCAUCUUGUAGGCAAGGUGAGGAGCUGGGCCCUGGCAGGUACAGAGGGAAGUGGCCAAUAUAGUGGUCACAGCUGGGCUUAGUGCGGAAUGCACGCCAGUCUGACUGGUCCCCCACUCACUCCUCCUCUGGCCCUUGGCUGGUGGCGUUGGGGAACUUGAUGCUGUGACACUCUCGUCCCCUCACCCCCGUUGUGGACAGCAGUGGGAAGGGAGAUGAAAGCCCCUUGGUUGGACAUGGACCAACUGGGGACUGUUGUGAAGAGAGAACUAAGACAACACAGUGUGUCACGUGAAGGAGGAAACAAGAAGAAGGGACAGAGGGACACGGAUCCAGCCUCUAGCCAUUUGAGGGACAUCUAGCAAGAAGGGUUUAUUGAACAGCUAUCAAGUGUCCACCACUGUAACUGGGACACCCCCUGGGGCUGCUGACUUCACUGAAUGUUCCAGAACACCUUGUAUUGACCUGAGAACAGCCUGGUCAAUGGAAGUGUCAUUGGAUCAUGUGCUUUUGUCUUAUGUAAUAGGGAGGAGCAGCUGCCCAGGGGUCGGGCGGGGUGAAGAGAAAGAUCAUGCCAGCAAGGCCGGGAGCCAGGCUGUAAGAGGUGCUUGAGGUGGAGCGGAAUGGGUAAAUAAGUUGCAUUCACAGGAUUUUCAGGGAGCGAAGACACCAAGCAGCAUGUGUGUGAAAAGAAUCUUUUGAGAAGCUGCUUGGGGUAAAGGUCCUCGAGAAAGGACACGAAGAGUUGUUAGCAUGGCAUUGAGGGCCAUAUGCUCUCUGUCCUCUCCCCAGAUUGAUAUCUGCCCUCCCCCAAGACAUCCUGAGGAAUACUUCCACGUUUGGGAAGAAAAAUGUUAUAACUGAUAACCAAGACACUUGAGAAUAUACAAAAUCAGCUUCACAAAUUCCAUUGUUUUUGUUCCUGUCUUGAAAAACUUUUGGAAAGAGACAGAGAGCCCACAGUCUGGAAAGAAG